AUUGAACGCUGGCGGCAGGCCUAACACAUGCAAGUCGAGCGGAUGAAGGGAGCUUGCUCCUGGAUUCAGCGGCGGACGGGUGAGUAAUGCCUAGGAAUCUGCCUGGUAGUGGGGGAUAACGUCCGGAAACGGGCGCUAAUACCGCAUACGUCCUGAGGGAGAAAGUGGGGGAUCUUCGGACCUCACGCUAUCAGAUGAGCCUAGGUCGGAUUAGCUAGUUGGUGGGGUAAAGGCCUACCAAGGCGACGAUCCGUAACUGGUCUGAGAGGAUGAUCAGUCACACUUGAACUGAGACACGUUCCAGACUCCUAAGGGAGGCAGCAGUGGUGAAUAUUGGACAAUGGGCGAAAGCCUUAUCCAGCCAUGCCGCGUGUGUGAAGAAGGUCUUCGGAUUUUAAAGCACUUUAAGUUGGGAGGAAGGUCAGUAAGUUAAUACCUUGCUUUUUUGACGUUACCAACAGAAUAAGCACCGGCUAACUUCGUG
rnacentral:rRNA from 1 species